rnacentral:ribozyme from 1 species
GGUGGAGAAACGAACUUUGCAAUUUAUCAAUAACUUCGAUGUCAAUGGAGGAAUGAAGGCAGGGGCAAACUUUACCGAGACAGUAGAUGUGGUGAAGCCCUUAGUGGCAGUGAAACCUUCUAAUGCAAUCAUCGUUCGA